ACACUUAGAAUUGGAGAUGAUCUAGCCCAUCUACUCACCUCUCAAGAAGUGCGGCAGUAUGCCUUCAAUAUUCACCCUCACACACUCAACUCUUCCAAGGAGAUCUACCAGCAUGGCACUCUGAGGAAGGAACAGUCUAAGGCAGUACCAUUGAAAGAAGUGACGUUCAGUUUACCAAAAGGGAAACAACACUUGGAGAACUAAGAAUGGCUGGCUAUGUCUUCUUCAUAGGUGUAAACAGAGACACCCCGAUGCUUAUAUACAAAUCAGUUUACCUAGACGGAAAGUUGGGAAGCUUGGGAGAAAGUGUGGCCUACAGAAGAGAAAAUGAUGACAAGAUUGCAUAUGGACUACUAUCAACCCUUUUGAAGUUUCCUGACGACACGCAGGUAGCGGUGGUGCUGCCCUACAAGAAAGUGGGACGAAUGAGCGAGCAAAAUUGUGAGCUGGUGGAGACAACCAAUCACUUAAUAAAGAU